GCUAACAGCGGUAUAAGGCAGAACCGUGGACAACCCCGGUCCUCGGAGGCAGAAAAGACUCAAGGUCACACGGGAUAAAUUGCGAACAGUCCUUGCGUCAGUUGACUGAGAGGCGGGGCCUGUUGCGCCUGCGCAACUGGCAUCCUACUGAGGUCCUGCAGCGCAUGUGCGCAGGGAGUGGCGGAAACCGGGGAGGAGUCUAACUAGAGCUGUCAUAGGACGCUCCAGCUCACGGUAUGUGGAGAGAUUUGCUGCAUUUCUAAAGAAUCUCAGAAAACAAGCUUCAUUUCAGAACCUAAACCAGCAUUUGCUUUUCUUCACUUUGAGGGAGCACACAGAACCUCUGAGCGAGUGCACUAGAGAAGCCGGCCCCCAAAGAACACUCUGUCCCAAGUCUGGGCCCAAAGCAGCAGAGCUUCCUGAUCCGAAGGGACCAGUGGGCUGGGAUGAUGGAUGUGUCACUGGUGGCCUGGAUGGCUGACAUGUGGAAGAAUCUCCCCGACCCUGCCUGAGACACUGAGCUUCAUGAAGAAUACUCCGGGAAGUCUUGCUGAUUGAAUUUUUGGACUGUUUUUUCCUUAACAUUCUUGAUGCACCUUAAUCCUCAUGAUUAUGUACA